GCCAGACUCCUACGGGAGGCAGCAGUGAGGAAUAUUGGUCAAUGGCCGCAGGGCUGAACCAGCCAAGUCGCGUGAGGGAUGACGGUCCUAUGGAUUGUAAACCUCUUUUGUCAGGGAGCAAAGGGCGCCACGUGUGGCGUUUUGCGAGUACCUGAAGAAAAAGCAUCGGCUAACUCCGUGCCAGCAGCCGCGGUAAUACGGAGGAUGCGAGCGUUAUCCGGAUUUAUUGGGUUUAAAGGGUGCGUAGGCGGGCAUUUAAGCCGGCGGUCAAAUGUCGGGGCUCAACCCCGGCCUGCCGUCGGAACUGGGUGCCUUGAGUGGGCGAGAAGUAUGCGGAAUGCGUGGUGUAGCGGUGAAAUGCAUAGAUAUCACGCAGAACCCCGAUUGCGAAGGCAGCAUACCGGCGCCCUACUGACGCUGAGGCACGAAAGUGCGGGUAUCGAACAGGAUUAGAUACCCUCGUAC
rnacentral:rRNA from 1 species